rnacentral:piRNA from 1 species
UGGUUUACAACUGACUGACAUUUGCUGC